CCAAAUAUAGUGUAUAUAGGUGCCGGAUCAACCCAUAAGGCAGUCCGGCUUAAUAGGGAAGCAUGGUGUAAAUCCAUCACGGUCCCGCCACUGUAAGGGCUCUUAGGCUGUUCAUCAUUUUUUCAGCUUUCCUCAUACGGCAUAGCCACCGAACAAUCGGAUCAAGGUUUUCGGAAGGCACCGCCGGGAGGCAGAAGCCCGAGUCAGAGACCUGCCUAUAUGCAGCAGACACC
rnacentral:ncRNA from 2 species